UACGAAGGGGGCUAGCGUUGCUCGGAAUUACUGGGCGUAAAGGGAGCGUAGGCGGACAGUUUAGUCAGAGGUGAAAGCCCCAGGGCUCAACCUUGGAAUUGCCUUUGAUACUGGCUGUCUUGAGUACGGGAGAGGUGUGUGGAACUCCGAGUGUAGAGGUGAAAUUCGUAGAUAUUCGGAAGAACACCAGUGGCGAAGGCGACACACUGGCCCGUUACUGACGCUGAGGCUCGAAAGCGUGGGGAGCAAACAGG
rnacentral:rRNA from 1 species